rnacentral:rRNA from 1 species
AUUGAACGCUGGCGGCAGGCCUAACACAUGCAAGUCGAGCGGAGCGGCGGACGGGUGAGUAAUGCCUAGGAAUCUGCCUGGUAGUGGGGGAUAACGUCCGGAAACGGGCGCUAAUACCGCAUACUAUCAGAUGAGCCUAGGUCGGAUUAGCUAGUGGGUGGGGUAAAGGCGUACCCAGCCGACGAUCCGUAACUGGUCUGAGAGGAUGAUCAGGCACACGGGAAAGGAGACACGGUCCAGACUCCUACGGGAGGCAGCAGGGGGGAAUAUGGGACAAGGGGCGAAAGCCUGAUCCAGCCAUGCGGCGUGUGUGAAGAAGGUAUUCGGAGUGUAAAGCACUUUAAGUUGGAAGGCGUUACCAACAGAAUAAGCACCGGCUAACUGCGUGCCAGCAGCCGCGGUAAUAC